AACGAACGCUGGCGGCAGGCCUAACACAUGCAAGUCGAGCGAGGUAGCAAUACCUAGCGGCGGACGGGUUAGUAACGCGUGGGAACGUGCCCAAAGGUACGGAAUAGCCUCGGGAAACUGAGAGUAAUACCGUAUGUGCCCUUCGGGGGAAAGAUUUAUCGCCUUUGGAUCGGCCCGCGUUGGAUUAGGUAGUUGGUGGGGUAAUGGCCUACCAAGCCGACGAUCCAUAGCUGGUUUGAGAGGAUGAUCAGCAACACUGGGACUGAGACACGGCCCAGACUCCUACGGGAGGCAGCAGUGGGGAAUCUUAGACAAUGGGGGAAACCCUGAUCUAGCCAUGCCGCGUGAGCGAUGAAGGCCUUAGGGUUGUAAAGCUCUUUCAGCUGGGAAGAUAAUGACGGUACCAGCAGAAGAAGCCCGGCUAACUCCGUG
rnacentral:rRNA from 1 species